CUUAAUUUUUGUCACAUUAUAAAGCUUGUUGAAUCCAUUCAAUUUUUUGCCAGAUUGAUAGGGAAUAAUUAUUCAAUUCUUCACGUAUUCUUUACAUUUAUAUCAAAAUAGCGUAGUGGCUUUAGCAUUCCAAAAUUAACAAAGAAUGUGAUAGUCAUAAUAAUAGUCAUGUAACUUGGAGAAACCUCAAUUAUUUUUCCAAUGCUUAUGCAGCUGCAGUUAGUGCGGUGGACCCUGAUGCAGGAAAUGGAGAACUUUGCAUUAAGGUUCCAUCAGAGCUGUGGAAACACGUUGAUGAGUUAAAGGUCCUGAAGAUACACAUCAAUUUUUCUCUGGAUCAGCCCAAAGGAGGUCUUCAUUUUGUGGUACCCAGUGUAGAGGGAAGUAUGGCAGAGAGAGGUGCUCAUGUUUUCUCUUGUGGGUAUCAAAAUUCUACAAGAUUUUGGUUUCCUUGUGUUGAUUCAUACUCUGAAUUGUGUACAUGGAAAUUAGAAUUUACAGUAGAUGCUGCAAUGGUUGCUGUUUCUAAUGGCGAUUUGGUGGAGACAGUGUAUACCCAUGAUAUGAGGAAGAAAACUUUCCAUUAUAUGCUUACCAUUCCUACAGCAGCGUCAAAUAUCUCCUUGGCCAUUGGACCAUUUGAAAUACUUGUAGAUCCAUACAUGCAUGAGGUAAGUCAGAGCUCUCCCCUCUUACUCUCCUCUUGGCCUUUUACUGCUUUUAAAACGAUGGAUGUUGACUGGGUGCAGUGGCUCACACCUGUAAUCCCAGCACUUUGGGAGGCCAAGGCAUGUGGAUCACGAGGUCAGGAAAUCGAUCCUGGCCAACACAGCAAAACCCAGUCAUUACUAAAAAUACAAAA
rnacentral:lncRNA from 1 species